rnacentral:tRNA from 1 species
AGGGUUAUAGUCAACUAUGACAUGUAAGUUGCAUUUACAAGGUGUUUUUUAACUGACCUUA